rnacentral:rRNA from 1 species
AUUGAACGCUGGCGGCAGGCUUAACACAUGCAAGUCGAGCGGGGUGAUGGUGCUUGCACUAUCACUUAGCGGCGGACGGGUGAGUAAUGCUUAGGAAUCUGCCUAUUAGUGGGGGACAACAUUUCGAAAGGAAUGCUAAUACCGCAUACGUCCUACGGGAGAAAGCAGGGGAUCUUCGGACCUUGCGCUAAUAGAUGAGCCUAAGUCGGAUUAGCUAGUUGGUGGGGUAAAGGCCUACCAAGGCGGCGAUCUGUAGCGGGUCUGAGAGGAUGAUCCGCCACACUGGGACUGAGACACGGCCCAGACUCCUACGGGAGGCAGCAGUGGGGAAUAUUGGACAAUGGGCGGAAGCCUGAUCCAGCCAUGCCGCGUGUGUGAAGAAGGCCUUAUGGUUAUAAAGCACUUUAAGCGAGGAGGAGGCUACUCUAGUUAAUACCUAGAGAUAGUGGACGUUACUCGCAGAAUAAGCACCGGCUAACUCUGUGCCAGCCGCCGCGGUAAAAC